rnacentral:tRNA from 2 species
GUGAGCGUAGCUCAGUUGGUAGAGCCCCGGAUUGUGAUUCCGGUCGUCGUGGGUUCGAGUCCCAUCGCUCACCCCA